rnacentral:lncRNA from 1 species
UGUUGAUGUAAUUAAUUCAAUAAUUCAACCUGAGGCCCCUAAGAGGAGACCAAUAGUCCCGCCGAUAUCGCAAAGCAGCGAGAUGAUGUCAUACGCAAAUUCUUCUUUUGUUUCCUCAUACGUCAUGUCGGUAUCAGCAUUCGUUUCGUAAAGGUACUGUGAACAGGUGCUGGAAUAUCCGCAUUGACAGGCAGCCGGAUGCCAUCCAUUACCUUCCCACAAUAAAUCUUUCUGCAAGUCUUCGGCAAAAAGCAACUGCUGUGAAGUGUUACAGUACGGUACGGAUGUGAAAUUCGGUAAAUUCAUGUACGGCAUUCUAUAUAUUAUGAUGGCGUAUAUAAGAAACAAACUUAAUUGGAAAAUAAUUCUCUCAAUUUCCAUUUUAAUUUUAAAAUACCGACAUCCCGAUUUCUUGAUCAUUUUUUCGUGAAAACAACGGCUGAUGCAACGUGAAACUGUUUUGGACUCGUCAAAAGAACAAGGUGCAUGGUAUUUACUCUCGGCUUGAAAGUGUUUGAGGGAAACGGCGACAUCCUUGUUCCAGCCCUGUUCCAGAAAGAAGCCGUGAGUCAAUGCGCGGAUGUCGUGAGUGCUGUACCGAUCGCUGAUCAUUAUGACCUAUAUAGCGUUUGAAUUAUUCGCAUAAUUGUUAUUUUACACAAUUUGAUGUUGAAACCAUAAAAUUGGCCACUGACUGUCACCGGCAAUCCGGGGAAAUGGAGGCAGUAACCCAAAAUCGUGAAAAUUCGCAUUAUUUUCCCGUUUUCCGUGCAAUUGACCCUCGCCUGCAAACACUUUAUAACACACAGCAAUUCUCAUGACGUCGUCUUCCAAUUCCCAGCCGGCUAGCUUCCACAAAGUGACUACGUCGUACACGUCAGCCAGUUUGUACAUGGCAUCGACGGGAUCUCCAAAUUGUUCUCCUUCUGGAAAAUGAACUUCGUAGAGCGAUUGGAGCUUAACCAGUACCGGUAUAAUUGAAUAAUCCAAGAGGACUUACAAAGUGUCGCGAUAAGGGCAGAGUGUGAUGGAUGGAAACAUUAGCGAAUCAUUUCUUAUGAAUCGCACUGUAGUCGAAACCGGUCGAGUCUACGCGCAAAUGAAAAUAAAUUCUGAAUUAGUAAAA